AGUGAACGCUGGCGGUAGGCCUAACACAUGCAAGUCGAACGGCAGCACAGUAAGAGCUUGCUCUUACGGGUGGCGAGUGGCGGACGGGUGAGGAAUACAUCGGAAUCUACUUUUUCGUGGGGGAUAACGUAGGGAAACUUACGCUAAUACCGCAUACGACCUACGGGUGAAAGCAGGGGUUCUUCGGACCUUGCGCGAUUGAAUGAGCCGAUGUCGGAUUAGCUAGUUGGCGGGGUAAAGGCCCACCAAGGCGACGAUCCGUAGCUGGUCUGAGAGGAUGAUCAGCCACACUGGAACUGAGACGCGGUCCAGACUCCUACGGGAGGCAGCAGUGGGGAAUAUUGGACAAUGGGCGCAAGCCUGAUCCAGCCAUACCGCGUGGGUGAAGAAGGCCUUCGGGUUGUAAAGCCCUUUUGUUGGGAAAGAAAAGCAGCAGGUUAAUACCCCGCUGUUCUGACGGUACCCAAAGAAUAAGCACCGGCUAACUUCGUG
rnacentral:rRNA from 1 species